GAUGAGAACGUAGCGAAAUGCGAUAAGUAGUGUGAAUUGCAGAAUUCAGUGAAUCAUCGAAUCUUUGAACGCACAUUGCGCCCCUUGGUAUUCCAUGGGGCAUGCCUGUUCGAGCGUCAUUUGUACCUUCAAGCUUUGCUUGGUGUUGGGUGUUUGUCUCGCCUUUGCGUGUAGACUCGCCUUAAAAUAAUUGGCAGCCGGCGUAUUGAUUUCGGAGCGCAGUACAUCUCGCGCUUUGCACUCAUAACGACAGCGUCCAAAAGUACAUUUUACACUCUUGACCUCGGAUCAGGUAGGGAUACCCGCUGAACUUAAGCAUAUCAAUAAGCGGAGGA
rnacentral:misc_RNA from 1 species